UCACUAAGAAACCUAUACCGUAUUGGCCC
rnacentral:sRNA from 1 species